CCUGUGGCUCAGAUGGUAAAGCGUCUGCCUGCAAUGCAGGAGACCUGGGUUCGAUUCCUGAGACAGGA
rnacentral:tRNA from 1 species